UACGAGGGGGGCGAGCGUUGUUCGGAAUUAUUGGGCGUAAAGGGUGCGUAGGCGGUUUGGUAAGUCUGAUGUGAAAUCUAUGGGCUCAACUCAUAGUCUGCAUCGGAAACUGCCGGGCUUGAGUGUGGGAGAGGUGAGUGGAAUUCCUGGUGUAGCGGUGAAAUGCGUAGAUAUCAGGAGGAACACCCUGUGGCGAAAAGCGGCUCACUGGACCAUAACUGACGCUGAUGCACGAAAGCUAGGGGGAGCAAACAGG
rnacentral:rRNA from 1 species